AAUGAGAUGCCUGAUUAAAGGGUUAUUUUGAUGUAAUAAAAAAAGUAAAAUUAUUUACUCUCAUUA
rnacentral:tRNA from 1 species